rnacentral:lncRNA from 1 species
GGAUACUGCUUUGUCUUCUAAGUAGGGAGCCACCUUAAUCAUUGUUUUCAUUGCUUGUCAGCAAACAUUUUCAGUCUACUUGCAGCUUCUUGUGUUUCCAGCUGAAGCUUCUUGUGUUUAAAAUGUUAUAUUCACGUACUACUAUUGAAACUAUACAAAAAGUCGUCAAAAAAGUGAAAAUGCACAUCGCUAAUAUCUGGCGCCAUGUCGAUUUUCCUGC